UACAGAGGGGGCAAGCGUUGUUCGGAAUUACUGGGCGUAAAGGGCGCGUAGGCGGCCUUCUAAGUCGAACGUGAAAUCCCCGGGCUCAACCCGGGAACUGCGUCCGAUACUGGAAGGCUUGAAUCCGGGAGAGGGAUGCGGAAUUCCAGGUGUAGCGGUGAAAUGCGUAGAUAUCUGGAGGAACACCGGUGGCGAAGGCGGCAUCCUGGACCGGCAUUGACGCUGAGGCACGAAAGCUAGGGGAGCAAACAGG
rnacentral:rRNA from 1 species